AUGUGUUCAUUGGACAGCCAGGGUCAGUGCAUGAUGCACUCGUCCUCCGAAGGUCACCCAUGUACAGCCAGGCCCUGUACCCACCCACUGGGUACUUCCUGCUGGGAGAUGGAGGGUACCCAUGCCUGCAGCGCCCUGUUGCCAUCAUGACCCCGUAUCGCCAGCCUGUAGCAAGGUCAAUGCUAAGACACAUACAAGGAGGAGCAAGUGGCCAAGAGGAGACGAUGAGCAACCAUCUACAAGCAGUUCAGGCACACAUCAACCCCAGCAAGCCAGCAGGCCUGCAGACUGGCCUGUGAGGCCUUUGCAGGCCUGGGAGGUGAAAGAAAAUGGGAGGUGAAAGAACUCAAUUGUGGUGAAAGGAGGACUCCUACUGGAUGAAGUUGGUAAGUACCUCCUGACUCCAGCCCUGGUGUUGAGGACAGGUGAGUAGUUAACCUUUUUUUUUUUGUGGUGAAACAAUACACAAAGUCAAAGGCAAACAUAGAAGCAUACAUAGUUGUCAAAUAAAGAUUUUAUUGCAGCUCUAUUUAGGCAACAUUAUCAAACCAAACAAUUUCUCUUUCAAGUCAGGGUCUGUCUAGGCCCGAAGGCACCUUGGUCCUCAAUAUUUUGUUUCAUAACCUCUCCUGUUGUCUGUGCUGACCCUCUGUCCAUGGCUGUGGACCUGUGGAUUUGAGGACCCUUGAAACUGAUCAGGCUUUGUGCCCCUGAGGUUCCAGUUUUUUGUUUUUUCACAUUCAACCCAUCCCAUUCACUUUGCAUAGGGACAUGUCAUUUCAGUAGCUUUCAGGUCUAGGGAUGGGCUUUCGAUUAAAUUGUCUUAAUCGAUCGUCGGGAGAAUUAAUGAUCAAUUUUCAAUUAGUCAUUAAUAUUUUUAUAUUAAAAUUCACUAUUCAUAGGCUAUAUUCAAAAUGCAAUGAAAAUACAAAAACACGGCAUGUUUUCCUCAUUGAGAUCUUUAUUACAAGAUAAACAACUCUUGUGGCAGUUAAACAGGAUCUGUUCAGUGUUUACACUUGAAGAUAUGCGCUGCUGUGCUCUAAAGCAGCGGAGCCUGCAGCUAGCAGCCAGUGCUCAUAAACACAACUGACCCUUGUUUUUUUUUUUUUUUCAAAAACAACAACAAUAAUAAUAAUAAUAAUAAUAAUAAUAAUGAUAAUAAUAUUUUAAAAAACAUGUUAAACAAUGACUUAACCAAAAAUAUAUAAUAACUCAAAACUAUCAAAAAAGGCACCGAGUCGAGAAAGAGGGUCAGAGAGAUUAGCGUAGCUAACAAUAAAUUAAGCUUAUUAACAAAGCUUCAUAAAAAGUAACCAGUAACUUACAUACAACUUCAGCACCAGUCU
rnacentral:lncRNA from 1 species